UCUGGUGGUGAUGGCGCGGUGGCAACACCUGGUCCCAUCCCGAACCCAGCAGUUAAGCACCGCAGUGGCGAAGGUAGCCGAUUCGUUCGGCAAGAAUAGCGCGCCGCCGGGC
rnacentral:rRNA from 1 species